ACAGCAGCCGCGGUAAUACGUAGGGUGCGAGCGUUAAUCGGAAUUACUGGGCGUAAAGGGUGCGCAGGCGGAUAUGUAAGUUAGAUGUGAAAUCCCCGAGCUUAACUUGGGAAUGGCAUUUAAGACUGCAUGUCUAGAGUUUGUCAGAGGGGGGUAGAAUUCCAAGUGUAGCAGUGAAAUGCGUAGAGAUUUGGAGGAAUACCGGUGGCGAAGGCGACCCCCUGGGAUAAAACUGACGCUCAGGCACGAAAGCGUGGGUAGCAAACAGGAUUAGAUACCCUGGUAGUCCACGCCCUAAACGAUGUCUACUUGCUGUUGGGGGUAAAACCUUAGUAGCGAAGCUAACGUGAGAAGUAGACCGCCUGGGGAGUACGGUCGCAAGAUUAAAACUCAAAGGAAUUGACGGGGGCCCGCACAAGC
rnacentral:rRNA from 1 species